rnacentral:rRNA from 1 species
GGCGUCUUUGGCGUCCGAGUUGUAAUUUGCAGAGGGCGCUUUGGCAUUGGCAGCGGUCCAAGUUCCUUGGAACAGGACGUCACAGAGGGUGAGAAUCCCGUACGUGGUCGCUAGCCUUUACCGUGUAAAGCCCCUUCGACGAGUCGAGUUGUUUGGGAAUGCAGCUCUAAAUGGGAGGUAAAUUUCUUCUAAAGCUAAAUACUGGCCAGAGACCGAUAGCGCACAAGUAGAGUGAUCGAAAGAUGAAAAGCACUUUGGAAAGAGAGUUAAAAAGCACGUGAAAUUGUUGAAAGGGAAGCGCUUGCAGCCAGACUUGCCUGUAGUUGCUCAUCCGGGUUUUUACCCGGUGCACUCUUCUAUAGGCAGGCCAGCAUCAGUUUGGGCGGUUGGAUAAAGGUCUCUGUCAUGUACCUCUCUUCGGGGAGAACUUAUAGGGGAGACGACAUGCAACCAGCCUGGACUGAGGUCCGCGCAUCUGCUAGGAUGCUGGCGUAAUGGCUGUAAGCGGCCCGUCUUGAAACACGGACCAAGGAGUCUAACAUCUAUGCGAGUGUUUGGGUGUCAAGCCCGAGCGCGUAAUGAAAGUGAACGGAGGUGGGAACCUUUCGGGGUGCACCAUCGACCGAUCCUGAUGUCUUCGGAUGGAUUUGAGUAAGAGCAUAGCUGUUGGGACCCGAAAGAUGGUGAACUAUGCUUGAAUAGGGUGAAGCCAGAGGAAACUCUGGUGGAGGCUCGCAGCGGUUCUGACGUGCAAAUCGAUCGUCAAAUUUGGGCAUAGGGGCGAAAGACUAAUCGAACUAUCUAGUAGCUGGUUCCUGCCGAAGUUUCCCUCAGGAUAGCAGUAACGUUUUCAGUUUUAUGAGGUAAAGCGAAUGAUUAGAGGCCUGGGGGUUGAAACAACCUU